rnacentral:rRNA from 1 species
AAUGGGUCAGCGACUUAUAUUCUGUAGCAAGGUUAACCGAAUAGGGGAGCCGAAGGGAAACCGAGUCUUAACUGGGCGUUAAGUUGCAGGGUAUAGACCCGAAACCCGGUGAUCUAGCCAUGGGCAGGUUGAAGGUUGGGUAACACUAACUGGAGGACCGAACCGACUAAUGUUGAAAAAUUAGCGGAUGACUUGUGGCUGGGGGUGAAAGGCCAAUCAAACCGGGAGAUAGCUGGUUCUCCCCGAAAGCUAUUUAGGUAGCGCCUCGUGAAUUCAUCUCCGGGGGUAGAGCACUGUUUCGGCAAGGGGGUCAUCCCGACUUACCAACCCGAUGCAAACUGCGAAUACCGGAGAAUGUUAUCACGGGAGACACACGGCGGGUGCUAACGUCCGUCGUGAAGAGGGAAACAACCCAGACCGCCAGCUAAGGUCCCAAAGUCAUGGUUAAGUGGGAAACGAUGUGGGAAGGCCCAGACAGCCAGGAUGUUGGCUUAGAAGCAGCCAUCAUUUAAAGAAAGCGUAAUAGCUCACUGGUCGAGUCGGCCUGCGCGGAAGAUGUAACGGGGCUAAACCAUGCACCGAAGCUGCGGCAGCGACGCUGAUGCGUUGUUGGGUAGGGGAGCGUUCUGUAAGCCUGCGAAGGUGUGCUGUGAGGCAUGCUGGAGGUAUCAGAAGUGCGAAUGCUGACAUAAGUAACGAUAAAGCGGGUGAAAAGCCCGCUCGCCGGAAGACCAAGGGUUCCUGUCCAACGUUAAUCGGGGCAGGGUGAGUCGACCCCUAAGGCGAGGCCGAAAGGCGUAGUCGAUGGGAAACAGGUUAAUAUUCCUGUACUUGGUGUUACUGCGAAGGGGGGACGGAGAAGGCUAUGUUGGCCGGGCGACGGUUGUCCCGGUUUAAGCGUGUAGGCUGGUUUUCCAGGCAAAUCCGGAAAAUCAAGGCUGAGGCGUGAUGACGAGGCACUACGGUGCUGAAGCAACAAAUGCCCUGCUUCCAGGAAAAGCCUCUAAGCAUCAGGUAACAUCAAAUCGUACCCCAAACCGACACAGGUGGUCAGGUAGAGAAUACCAAGGCGCUUGAGAGAACUCGGGUGAAGGAACUAGGCAAAAUGGUGCCGUAACUUCGGGAGAAGGCACGCUGAUAUGUAGGUGAAGUCCCUCGCGGAUGGAGCUGAAAUCAGUCGAAGAUACCAGCUGGCUGCAACUGUUUAUUAAAAACACAGCACUGUGCAAACACGAAAGUGGACGUAUACGGUGUGACGCCUGCCCGGUGCCGGAAGGUUAAUUGAUGGGGU